rnacentral:misc_RNA from 1 species
UACCCUUGACAUGUACGGAAGCCACGAGAGAUCGAGGUGUGCUCGAAAGAGAGCCGUAACACAGGUGCUGCAUGGCUGUCGUCAGCUCGUGUCGUGAGAUGUUGGGUUAAGUCCCGCAACGAGCGCAACCCUUGUCAUUAGUUGCUACGAAAGAGCACUCUAAUGAGACUGCCGGUGACAAACCGGAGGAAGGUGGGGAUGACGUUUCCAGGUUAGG